GACGAACGCUGGCGGCGUGCUUAACACAUGCAAGUCGAACGGAAAGGCCCUGCUUUUGUGGGGUGCUCGAGUGGCGAACGGGUGAGUAACACGUGAGUAACCUGCCCUUGACUUUGGGAUAACUUCAGGAAACUGGGGCUAAUACCGGAUAGGAGCUCCUGCUGCAUGGUGGGGGUUGGAAAGUUUCGGCGGUUGGGGAUGGACUCGCGGCUUAUCAGCUUGUUGGUGGGGUAGUGGCUUACCAAGGCUUUGACGGGUAGCCGGCCUGAGAGGGUGACCGGCCACAUUGGGACUGAGAUACGGCCCGGACUCAUACGGGAGGCAGCAGUGGGGAAUAUAGCACGAUGGGCGGAAGCCUGAUGCAGCAACGCCGCGUGCGGAAUGACGGCCUUCGGGUUGUAAACCGCUUUCGCCUGUGACGAAGCGUGAGUGACGGAAAUAGGUAAAGAAGCACCGGCUAACUACGU
rnacentral:rRNA from 1 species